rnacentral:lncRNA from 1 species
AUGGCUCCAAAUGGUUUGUUUUGCAAUAAACACAAACAUUUAGAAAGACAUUUUUUCUCUCUCUUCCCGCAGGAAUACUCUAGAAAAAGAAGAGGAGGCAGAAGAAUAACUAUAAAGGAGGAAGCAUUAUACAUUUUCUUAAGCACCUAUAAUGUGCCAGAUGUUCUUCGAGAUGCUGGGGCUACAGUGGUUCACUGGACAGCAGAAGAAGUGGAGCUCUUUAUUCUGCUUGUUUCCACUGACGCCCCAUGGUCCCCCUGACCCUGGGCAACUGGAAGUCUGAAGGAUUGGUGAGCCUGAGAAAGAAAAUGGGACCAUCCGUGCAGGUUGAUAUGUUCAGUGAGUCACUAUAGCCAUGAGGUAUUCCAUACUAAUCUAUAUCCCUACCAGUCUAACCUUACCUCAUCACCACAAAAACAUUCUCCACUUCCUUCUCUGGGUGUAGGUUUGUUACUUACUUCCUCUCUUGGAGGAUGAAAUCCAGAAGGUUUCAUAAUUCUAGGUUUAUUUCUCCAUGUCCCUGCUUCUUGCUUCUGUUUUUUGGUCUCUUGAUAUUCUGUACAUGAAGUGCUGCCCUAAAUGGAAUGUUAUAGGUUAAAUAAUGCUCCCUCCCUCCCCAGGAAAGUCCUAAAUCCAGUUCUUCAGAAUGUGACCUUUUGCAGGAAAGGGUCACUACAGAUGAAAUGAGUUAAGAGGAGGUCAUACCAUUAGGGUGGCCCCUCAUCCAAGAUCACUGGUGUCCAUAUUAAAAAGGGAAAUUUGGGAGUUCCUGUUGUGGCUCAGUGGUUAACGAAUCCGACUAGGAACCAUGAAGUUGCAGGUUCGAUCCCUGGCCUUGCUCAGUGGGUUAAGGAUCUGGUGUUGCUGUGAGCUGUGGUGUAGGUCACAGAUGUGGCUCGGAUCCUGAGUUCCUGUGGCUCUGGUGUAGGCCGGUGGCCACAGCUCCGAUUAGACCCCUAGCCUGUGAAUCUCCAUAUGCCUCGGGAAGCAGCGCUAGAAAAGGCAAAAGACAAUACAAUACAAUAAAAUAAAAAUAAUAACAAAAAAAUAAUAAAAG